GACGAACCGUGCGAACGUUGUUCGGAAUCACUGGGCUUAAAGGGCGCGUAGGCGGGUUCCCAAGUUCGGGGUGAAAUCUUUCGGCUUAACCGGAAAACAGCCUUGAAUACUGGGAGUCUCGAGCGAGGUAGGGGCAGCUGGAACUUCCGGUGGAGCGGUGAAAUGCGUUGAUAUCGGAAGGAACGCCGGUGGCGAAAGCGAGCUGCUGGACCUUUUCUGACGCUGAGGCGCGAAAGCCAGGGGAGCAAACGGG
rnacentral:rRNA from 1 species